UAUGUAUGUAUAGCUGUUUUUCCCUUAAAUCAUGCUCUGCACCGUGUCUGCUCUAGACAUUCCUCUGACUAUAAGCAAGAUAUGCUUAUAUAUGUAUAGCUGUUUAUCCCUUAAUUCAUGCUCUGUAUUGUGUCUGCUCUAGGCAU